rnacentral:rRNA from 1 species
UGCGGAAGGGAUAAGUGCUGAAAGCAUCUAAGCAUGAAGCCCCCCUCAAGAUGAGAUUUCCCAUAGCGUAAGCUAGUAAGAUCCCUGAAAGAUGAUCAGGUUGAUAGGUUCGAGGUGGAAGCAUGGUGACAUGUGGAGCUGACGAAUACUAAUAGAUCGAGGACUUAACCA